AUUGAACGCUGGCGGCAGGCUUAACACAUGCAAGUCGAGCGAGCGGCGGACGGGUGAGUAAUGUCUGGGAAACUGCCUGAUGGAGGGGGCUAACUACUGGAAACGGUAGCUAAUACCGCAUACUAUCGGAUGAACCCAUAUGGGAUUAGCUAGUUGGUGAGGUAAUGGCUCACCUGGGCGACGAUCUCUAGCUGGUCUGAGAGGAUGAUCAGCCACACUGGGACUGAGACACGGCCCAGACUCCGACGGGAGGCAGCAGUGGGGAAUAUUGCACAAUGGGCGCAAGCCUGAUGCAGCCAUGCCGCGUGUAUGAAGAAGGCCUUAGGGUUGUAAAGUACUUUCAGCGGGGAGGCGUUACCCGCAGAAGAAGCACCGGCUAACUCCGUGCCAGCAGCCGCGGUAAUUC
rnacentral:rRNA from 1 species